AAGACCAGUGUUCUUGCCGACGCGCCGCCAGGGUGACCAGGUGCGUCAGGACCUCAUGUGAUAAAUCGAUGUAAGGAAUCCUCCACAGAACAUGGUUGUGAUUCUUAUUAUUCAGCCGUUCCACCAGAUUGGUCCCAUAGAUACAUCGAUUUACUAUGAUUGAGUAGUUUUUGUCGGGGUAGGGAGAACUGCAGGAAGCAACCAUUAGAAGCAAUGGAAGGAAGGGGAUGGUUGUACUUUCACCGGUCUGCUGGAACAAGCCUUAUAUGACGAGAGUUUCACAGACGCUUGCAAUACACAAUAUGAGUGGCAGCAGCCACCACCUAUAAAGAUUAGCAGUCAAACAUCAAAGCAAAACCAGAAGCAAAAAGGAAAAAAAAACUUCAAUGAUGACGAAGACAUACUUCUCAUUGGAGCACGGUUGAAUGUCAGUAUGGAUCCAACAAAAGGGACGAAUCAAACUAAGGCUACAUUUUGGCAAAGAGUUCAUGUUGUAAGCUUAGAGAAAUAAGUGACAUGCUUUCUACAUAUUUAAAUAGAUUAAAUAUUCUAAUUCCGAAUAAAACAAGCAUAUAACUCAGAUAAAUGCCAUAUGUAAUUAUUGCAGCAAUGAACAGUAGCAAUUC
rnacentral:lncRNA from 7 species